rnacentral:rRNA from 1 species
UACGUAGGUGGCAAGCGUUGUCCGGGUUUACUGGGCGUAAAGAGCGCGCAGGCGGUCGUACAAGUCGCGUGUGAAAGCCCCCGGCUCAACUGGGGAGGGUCACGCGAUACUGUUCGACUCGAAGGCAGGAGAGGGAAGCGGAAUUCCCGGUGUAGUGGUGAAAUGCGUAGAUAUCGGGAGGAACACCAGUGGCGAAGGCGGCUUCCUGGCCUGUUCUUGACGCUGAGGCGCGAAAGCUAGGGUAGCAAACGGG